rnacentral:rRNA from 1 species
AACGAACGCUGGCGGCAUGCCUUACACAUGCAAGUCGAACGGUAACAGGUCUUCGGAUGCUGACGAGUGGCGAACGGGUGAGUAAUACAUCGGAACGUGCCUAGUAGUGGGGGAUAACUACUCGAAAGAGUGGCUAAUACCGCAUGAGAUCUACGGAUGAAAGCAGGGGAUCGCAAGACCUUGUGCUACUAGAGCGGCCGAUGGCAGAUUAGGUAGUUGGUGGGAUAAAAGCUUACCAAGCCGACGAUCUGUAGCUGGUCUGAGAGGACGAUCAGCCACACUGGGACUGAGCCACGGCCCAGACUCCUACGGGAGGCAGCAGUGGGGAAUUUUGGACAAUGGGCGAAAGCCUGAUCCAGCAAUGCCGCGUGCAGGAUGAAGGCCUUCGGGUUGUAAACUGCUUUUGUACGGAACGAAAAGCCCUGGGUUAAUACCCUGGGGUCAUGACGGUACCGUAAGAAUAAGCACCGGCUAACUACGUGCCAGCCGCCGCAGUAAGAC